rnacentral:tRNA from 1 species
CUCAAAGAAAGGAGAUUUUAACUCCCACCCCUGGCUCCCAAAGCCAGGAUUNUUAGUUAAACUAUUCUUU